AGUAUUACAGGAAAUGGUGUCUUCCUGCUGAAACCGCCCUGCUCAGGGAUGAUGGCGCCUAUUUAGGU
rnacentral:ncRNA from 1 species